GACGGAGGAUGCAAGCGUUAUCCGGAAUGAUUGGGCGUAAAGCGUCCGCAGGUGGCAGUUCAAGUCUGCUGUCAAAGACCGGGGCUUAACUUCGGAAAGGCAGUGGAAACUGAACAGCUAGAGUAUGGUAGGGGCAGAGGGAAUCCCUGGUGUAGCGGUGAAAUGCGUAGAGAUCAGGAAGAACAUCGGUGGCGAAGGCGCUCUGCUGGACCAUAACUGACACUCAGGGACGAAAGCUAGGGGAGCGAAUGGG
rnacentral:rRNA from 1 species